rnacentral:rRNA from 1 species
UCUCGUUAAAGUCCCCACCAUAACGUGCUGGCAACUAACGAUAAGGGUUUCGCUCGUUUUAGGACUUAACCUAACAUCUCACGACACGAGCUGACGACAACCAUGCACCACCUGUGUUUCUGAUAACCUCCACGAUAUUACUACCGUUUCGCAAAAACAUGUCAAGACCUGGUAAGGUUUUUCGGGUAUCUUCGAAUUAAACAACAUGAUCCACCGCUUGUGCGGAGUCCCGUCAAUUCCUUUAAGUUUCAUACUUGCGUACGUACUACUCAGGCGGAGUACUUAAUGUGUUAACUUCAGUACCGGUUUAACCCGACACUUAGUACUCAUCGUUUACGGCGUGGACUACCAGGGUAUCUAAUCCUGUUUGCUCCCCACGCUUUCGUGCCUCAGCGUCAGUUAAGACCCAGCGAGCCGCCUACGCCUCUGGUGUUCCUCCAUAUAUUUACGCAUUUUACCGCUACACAUGGAAUUCCACUCGCCUCUAUCUAACUCAAGUUUAGCAGUUUCAAUAGCCGGACAACGUUGAGCGUUGCCAUUACACCACUGACUUACUAGACCGCCUACGCACCCUUUACGCCCAAUAAUUCCGGAUAACACUUGCCCCUUAUGUCUUACCGCGGCUGCUGGCACAUAAUUAGCCGGGGCUUAUUCAUCAAGUACCGGCAAACAAAUGGUUCACCACUUGCUUUUCUUCCUUGAUAAAAGAACUUUACAUACCAAAGUACUUCGUCGUUCACGCGGCGUUGCUCGGUCAGAGUUCUCCCUGAUGGGGGGGAAAAAAAAAAAAGUCUUCUUAGGGGCUGCCCCCCAAAAAAAAUUUUGGGCCCGGG